UACAGGGGGGGCAAGCGUUGUUUGGAAUUACUGGGCGUAAAGGGCUCGUAGGUGGCCAACUAAGUCAGACGUGAAAUCCCUCAGCUUAACUGGGGAACUGCGUCUGAUACUGGAUGGCUUGAGUUUGGGAGAGGGAUGCGGAAUUCCAGGUGUAGCGGUGAAAUGCGUAGAUAUCUGGAGGAACACCGGUGGCGAAGGCGGCAUCCUGGACCAACACUGACACUGAGGAGCGAAAGCCAGGGGAGCAAACGGG
rnacentral:rRNA from 1 species